AUGGAGGCCGAGCGGGGUCCCGAGCGCCGGCCUGCGGAGCGUAGCAGCCCGGGCCAGACGCCGGAGGAGGGCGCGCAGGCCUUGGCCGAGUUCGCGGCGCUGCACGGCCCGGCGCUGCGCGCUUCGGGGGUCCCCGAACGUUACUGGGGCCGCCUCCUGCACAAGCUGGAGCACGAGUUUUCGACGCUGGGGAAGUGUUUGGGAUCAUGCAAGUGGAGGAGGUAGAAGAGGAGGAGGACGAGGCAGCCCGGGAGGUGCGGAAGCAGCAGCCCAACCCGGGGAACGAGCUGUGCUACAAGGUCAUCGUGACCAGGGAGAGCGGGCUCCAGGCAGCCCACCCCAACACAUCUUCCUCAUCGACCACGCCUGGACGUGCCGUGUGGAGCACGCGCGCCAGCAGCUGCAGCAGGUGCCCGGGCUGCUGCACCGCAUGGCCAACCUGAUGGGCAUUGAGUUCCACGGUGAGCUGCCCAGUACAGAGGCUGUGGCCCUGGUGCUGGAGGAGAUGUGGAAGUUCAACCAGACCUACCUGUAUGCCGUCGACCUCAUGCUGAAGUGGGACAACGGCCCAGAUGAAGGCGGGUGAUGCAGCCGCAGAUCCUGGAGGUGAACUUCAACCCCGACUG
rnacentral:lncRNA from 1 species